AAUGGGCUGACCCCCUGCCUUACAGAAAUCUCUGUUUUUUUCACAUAAUUAUAAAACCCCAAGAGUUUCGCCCGUUUGAGUUAUUUGUUGGCACACAUUCACCAUCCUGGCUCCUUGCUCUCAUUGGCCAAUCCUAAGUAUCUCUGCUGGGGCUUUAAACCAGACUCUUCCGAGACAACGCAGGAAGCCUGAAAGAAAUUACCUUUUCCUAGUGAAAUUUCCCUUUCCUAUUGCAGACUACCUGGGAUGACCAGGGUACGCGAACGGGAGCAGCGAGGAGGCAACGCUACCCUGGCUUUCGGUCACGAAUCAUUUAACCUCGCAUGGAAAGGACAUGAACCAAAAAAAGGGAAUGCACGGGCUCCUGGAACUAAAAAGUCGACCAUAAAGCCUCGUUCAGGCAUAGCUCAAUUCAGCGGCUUCAAGCAAGUCACAGGGCUCAGGCUCUCUGGACACGCCUCACCUGUCUUCCUGAGCUAGCUUCCUUCUCUUGGGAAAGAGGGUCCCCAGAACUCUCAAGCUCCCAGCCUCUCAGCUCCUAGAAUUGAACGCCAUUGGAUCAGUUUGGGUCACGUGCCCAUGCUUGAGCCAAUCACUGUGGCCGAAGGAAGAACUACACUGAUUGGCUAGAUCUGGGUCACAUGCCCGAUGUCGUCUCUGGAGAACGAGGCCGGUGUUGUUUGAAGGAGAUGGACUGAGGAUGUCAGCUACUGUCUGAAGAAGGUGUAUAUUCAAAUGCAACUAUUAUAUAUUCCAAUAUGUCAUAUUCCUCAACACCUGUUUGAAAGAGCACAUUAUAUCAAGAAGGAACUGUCACCGAAGCUACGAGAAGGACAGUUUCUACCAAAGUGCCGGAAGUCAGGGGACUGUCAGACAAGAAACUGCUGUGUCCUUCUGAGGCUGUCCUUGACCAGGAUGCGGACGGCAGCAGAGGACAAAACCCAAGAGGGGUGGCAGAGAGAGUCUUCAAGGAAGAUAUUGUCAGGAAAUUGAAAAAUUGGGCUACCCCAUCCAGACUGUCUAAACAAGGACGCCUGAAAGAAGAAGAACAGGGGGAAACGCAGCCUGGGGAAGAGAUGCAUUUGGGGUCAGAGAAACACAGAUCUGGACAUUUCCAACUUGUCGUGGUAACCAUCAAUCGAGCAGCCUCAUCCAGAAUGCUGAGCGCUCUGGGAUCCGGGGAAGAAGCUGUUAUGCCCAAGCUUUGUGCCUGGGAUGAGAAGCCGCUGGUUCUUGCCUCUUCUUUUCAAAGG